rnacentral:pre_miRNA from 1 species
UUAAAUAAAAUUUGUAUGGAUUUGGAACGUUUGUCUACGUUUGCCGCUAGGAGCGCUGUUUCAACUGCAUACCAAUUUGAGUUA